GCUUGUCUCAAAGAUUAAGCCAUGCAUGUCUAAGUAUAAGCAAUUACAAAGCGAAACUGCGAAUGGCUCAUUAUAUAAGUUAUCGUUUAUUUGAUAGUACCUUACUACAUGGAUAACCGUGGUAAUUCUAGAGCUAAUACAUGCUGAAAAUCCCGACUUCGGAAGGGAUGUAUUUAUUAGAUACAAAACCAAUGCCCUUCGGGGCUCCUUUGGUGAUUCAUGAUAACUUCUCGAAUCGCACGGCCCCGCGCCGGCGAUGGUUCAUUCAAAUUUCUUCCCUAUCAACUUUCGAUGCUACGGUAGUGUCCUAGCAUGGUUGCAACGGGUGACGGAGGGUUAGGGCUCGACCCCGGAGAAGGAGCCUGAGAAACGGCUACUACAUCCAAGGAAGGCAGCAGG
rnacentral:rRNA from 1 species